GCGGGCGCAGGAGGCUUGAGGGGGUUCACUCCUAGUACGAGAGGACCGGAGUGAGCGUGCCACUGGUGAACCAGCUGUCAUGCCAAGGGCAGGAGCUGGGUAGCCACGCACGUGAGUGAUAACCGCUGAAAGCAUCUAAGCGGGAAGCACGCCCCAAGACUAGGCCUCCCAUCCCGGAAGGGAGUAAGGACGGUUCGAGAAGAGGACCUUGAUAGGCCGGAGGUGUAAGCGCCGUGAGGCGUUGAGCCGACCGGUACUAAUCGUCCGAGGUCUUGCCCUGAG
rnacentral:rRNA from 1 species